UGCCCGAGUUGUAAUUUGGAGAGGGCAACUUUGGGGCCGUUCCUUGUCUAUGUUCCUUGGAACAGGACGUCAUAGAGGGUGAGAAUCCCGUGUGGCGAGGAGUGCGGUUCUUUGUAAAGUGCCUUCGAAGAGUCGAGUUGUUUGGGAAUGCAGCUCUAAGUGGGUGGUAAAUUCCAUCUAAAGCUAAAUAUUGGCGAGAGACCGAUAGCGAACAAGUACAGUGAUGGAAAGAUGAAAAGAACUUUGAAAAGAGAGUGAAAAAGUACGUGAAAUUGUUGAAAGGGAAGGGCAUUUGAUCAGACAUGGUGUUUUGUGCCCUCUGCUCCUUGUGGGUAGGGGAAUCUCGCAUUUCACUGGGCCAGCAUCAGUUUUGGUGGCAGGAUAAAUCCAUAGGAAUGUAGCUUGCCUCGGUAAGUAUUAUAGCCUG
rnacentral:rRNA from 1 species